AGCUUUGCGCAGUGGCAGUAUCGUAGCCAAUGAGGUUUAUCUGAGGCGUGAUUAUUGCUAAUUGAAAAGGCCUGUGAAAGUCUCAAAUCAGUAACC
rnacentral:snRNA from 1 species